AUCAUCAUCAUUAAUUUGACAACGAACCACAAAAAUUCCAACAGCCCCACUCCUCUCCUGAUGUCGCACUACUACCUGGAGGAAAGCAUCGCGAGAAUUGGUUGCCUUGGCUGCAGUACAGAGUGACGCUAGAGGAUGUUUGAGGUUUAGCGGCAGAGAAAUCACCCGAAAAUUGCCAGACUAACGGAGGUAAACGGCUCUCGGCCAGAGAAGGUGGUGGUGUUUGUUGUUACACCAGAACAGGAGCAAGAUGUGGUAGUUGUUGUUGUGCUAUGCUGUUCAGGAGACAGAUGCAAGGUUCCAUUAAGGUCUCCUCGUCUGUUAUAAGCGAAUGAUGAUGGACCUAGAUAACAAGGAGUUAGCAGGGAGUUCUGUAAGAAUGAAGGCUCCAGUGGUUCACACAGAUAGUGAGAGGGUCAUUUGUUUUGUUGUGGCACAUGGACAAUCUCUUUUUGGACACCAUGGGCCACAAUGUUUUACACAGAUAGAGACCCAUGGGAAUAACCCAGGCGAUGGCUCCCUCCCUCCGUCUUACACACAGACUAUGGGCCUGGCCUGUUUUUCCCCCCUUGCCUGGCUCAACUCCAGAUUAAACUGUAACAUUGCCCUGUUAAUUAUCCAUGGGUGGAGAAGUAGCAUCCAGCACUGGGUGUAAUUUUCAUUUAGCCAUCAGAAAGCCUGUAAACAUGUCUGCUGCACAGACGUCCACCAAGCUCCUGAAGCACAACAGAACUCACUUCAUCCUUUUCAUUUUUUGUUUCCUUUCAAAAUGCCAUUUAAGGUAUUUGCCAUUUUAAAAUAUUAUUUCUGCAAACAGUGUUUGAAAAUCCUCUAGUCUCUGAAUAGA